rnacentral:rRNA from 1 species
CGUCUCAGUUCGGAUUGCAGGCUGCAACUCGCCUGUAUGAAGUCGGAAUUGCUAGUAAUCGUGGAUCAGCAUGCCACGGUGAAUACGUUCCCGGACCUUGUACACACCGCCCGUCACACCAUGAGAGCCGGGAACACCCGAAGUCCGUAGUCUAACCUAUAUGGAGGACGCGGCCGAAGGUGGGUUUGGUAAUUGGGGUGAAGUCGUAACAAGGUAGC